UUCCGGUUGAUCCUGCCGGACCCGACUGCUAUCGGAUUGAGAUUUAGCCAUGCGAGUCGAACGUCCCCCUGUUGCGGGGGGCGUGGCGUACGGCUCAGUAACACGUAGUCAACCUGCCCUGGAGACAAGGACAACCCCGGGAAACUGGGAUUAAUCCUUGAUAGGUCAUCUCAUCUGGAAGGAGAGAUGGCUUAAAGGGGUACGCGGGCUUCUUCCGCGAAUCUGCUCCAGGAUGGGACUGCGUCCGAUCAGGCUGUUGGCGGGGUAAUGGCCCACCAAACCUGUAACCGGUACGGGCCUUGAGAGAGGUGGCCCGGAGAUGGACACUGAGAGAAGGGUCCAGGUCCUACGGGGCGCAGCAGGCGCGAAACCUUCGCAAUGCGCGAAAGCGUGACGAGGUUAAUCCGAGUGACUCCCGCUGAGGGGGUCUUUUGUCAGCUGUAAAUAGGCAGGCGAAUAAGGGGAGGGCAAGCCUGGUGUCAGCCGCCGCGGUAAUACCAGCUCCUCGAGUGGUCGGGGCGAUUAUUGGGCCUAAAGCAUCCGUAGCCGGUUCCGUAGGUCCUCUGUUAAAUCCAACCGCUUAACGGUUGACCUGCAGAGGAUACCGCGGGACUAGGAGGCGGGAGAGGCGGACGGUACUCCGCGUGUAGGGGUAAAAUCCUUUGAUCCGCGGAAGACCACCAGUGGCGAAGGCGGUCCGCCAGAACGCGCUCGACGGUGAGGGAUGAAAGCUGGGGGAGCGAACCGGAUUAGAUACCCGGGUAGUCCCAG
rnacentral:rRNA from 1 species